UACCAGCUCUCCGAGUGGUAGGGAUGAUUAUUGGGCUUAAAGCGUCCAUAGCCGGCUUAGCAAGUUUCCUGUUAAAUUCAGCGACCUAAUCGUUGAGCCGCGGGAAAUACUACUAGGCUAGGAGGCGGGAGAGGUCGACGGUACUUCUGGGGUAGGGGUGAAAUCCUAUAAUCCCGGGAGGACCACCAGUGGCGAAGGCUGUCGACUAGAACGCGCUCGACGGUGAGGUACGAAAGCUGGGGGAGCGAACCGGAUUAGAUACCCGGGUAGUCCCAGCUGUAAACGAUGCGGGCUAGGUGUUGGGGUGGCUACGUGCCACUUCAGUGCCGCAGGGAAGCCAUUAAGCCCGCCGCCUGGGGAGUACGGCCGCAAGGCUGAAACUUAAAGGAAUUGGCGGGGGAGCACCACAAGGCGUGAAGCUUGCGGUUC
rnacentral:rRNA from 1 species